AGAUCGUAGCUGCUUUUAUUGCCAGCCCAGCAAUUUGUGUACAAGAGUCUGUUGUUCUGCCAGGCAUGCUAGAUGCCCAACUGAGGACAGCAGUGGAAAAUUCACUGCAGAUGUUUGAGAUUUUACCAGAGCAUUUGCUUUGCAGAAGUUGGUAGUUAUUAUUUGUGCUGUUGUUGCUGUUGUAACGAAGACAUGUUUUUGGAUGAAGAAAUUUCAAGAAUCGCCAUGAAAUGUUUUUUUCUAUUAAAUUUACCUCACCUGAGCCAACCGCUCACAGCUGGGGUGUUG